rfam:Agarivorans albus MKT 106 DNA, contig: contig00005.
GCCAUUUUACUUUUAGUUCCUUGCCUCUUCGGUUCGGCUGUACCAUGAACGAGGCUAUAACCCGUAGGGAGCAAUCAUG